rnacentral:rRNA from 1 species
AGCGAACGCUGGCGGCAGGCUUAACACAUGCAAGUCGAGCGGGCACUUCGGUGUCAGCGGCAGACGGGUGAGUAACACGUGGGAACGUGCCCUUCGGUUCGGAAUAACUCAGGGAAACUUGAGCUAAUACCGGAUACGCCCUUUUGGGGAAAGGUUUACUGCCGAAGGAUCGGCCCGCGUCUGAUUAGUUAGUUGGUGGGGUAAUGGCCUACCAAGGCGACGAUCAGUAGCUGGUCUGAGAGGAUGAUCAGCCACACUGGGACUGAGACACGGCCCAGACUCCUACGGGAGGCAGCAGUGGGGAAUAUUGGACAAUGGGCGCAAGCCUGAUCCAGCCAUGCCGCGUGAGUGAUGAAGGCCCUAGGGUUGUAAAGCUCUUUUGUGCGGGAAGAUAAUGACGGUACCGCAA